rnacentral:tRNA from 1 species
CCGGCCCAGCUCAGUUGGGGGUAGCGCAUGACUGUUAAUCUUGCUGCCUUAGGUUCGAGGCCGACGGCCGGA